UACGGAGGAUGCAAGCGUUAUCCGGAAUUAUUGGGCGUAAAGAGCUCGUAGGCGGUCUGUUGCGUCGGCUGUGAAAACCCGAGGCUCAACCUCGGGCCUGCAGCCGAUACGGGCAGACUAGAGUUCGGCAGGGGAGACUGGAAUUCCUGGUGUAGCGGUGAAAUGCGCAGAUAUCAGGAGGAACACCGGUGGCGAAGGCGGGUCUCUGGGCCGAUACUGACGCUGAGGAGCGAAAGCGUGGGGAGCGAACAGG
rnacentral:rRNA from 1 species